rnacentral:tRNA from 1 species
CGGGGCGUGGCGCAGGUUGGCUAGCGCGUCUGCAUGGGGUGCAGAAGGUCGCCGGUUCGAGUCCGGCCGCCCCGA